rnacentral:rRNA from 1 species
AACGAACGCUGGCGGCAGGCCUAACACAUGCAAGUCGAGCGAAGCCUUCGGGCUUAGCGGCGGACGGGUGAGUAACGCGUGGGAACGUGCCCUUUGGUACGGAAUAGCCCCGGGAAACUGGGAGUAAUACCGUAUGUGGUCGAGAGACGAAAGAUUUAUCGCCAAAGGAUCGGCCCGCGUUGGAUUAGGUAGUUGGUGGGGUAAUGGCCUACCAAGCCGACGAUCCAUAGCUGGUUUGCGAGGAUGAUCAGCCACACCGGGACUGAGACACGGCCCAGACUCCUACGGGAGGCAGCAGUGGGGAAUCUUAGACAAUGGGGGAAACCCUGAUCUAGCCAUGCCGCGUGAUCGAUGAUGGCCUUAGGGUUGUAAAGAUCUUUCAGUGGGGAAGAUAAUGACUGUACCCACAGAAGAAGCCCCGGCUAACUCCGUGCCAGCCGCCGCAGUAAGAC